GACGAACGCUGGCGGCGUGCUUAACACAUGCAAGUCGAACGGAAAGGCCCUGCUUUUGUGGGGUGCUCGAGUGGCGAACGGGUGAGUAACACGUGAGUAACCUGCCCUUGACUUUGGGAUAACUUCAGGAAACUGGGGAUAAUACCGGAUAGGAGCUCUUGCUGCAUGGUGGGGGUUGGAAAGUUUCGGCGGUUGGGGAUGGACUCGCGGCUUAUCAGCUUGUUGGUGGGGUAGUGGCUUACCAAGGCUUUGACGGGUAGCCGGCCUGAGAGGGUGACCGGCCACAUUGGGACUGAGAUACGGCCCAGACUCCUACGGGAGGCAGCAGUGGAGAAUAUUGCACAAUGGGCGGAAGCCUGAUGCAGCAACGCCGCGUGCGGGAUGACCGCCUUCGGGUUGUAAACCGCUUUCGCCUGUGACGAAGCGUUAGUGACGGUAAUGGGUAAAGAAGCACCGGCUAACUACGUG
rnacentral:rRNA from 1 species